rnacentral:rRNA from 4 species
AAAUUGAAGAGUUUGAUCAUGGCUCAGAUUGAACGCUGGCGGCAGGCCUAACACAUGCAAGUCGAACGGUAACAGGAAGCAGCUUGCUGCUUUGCUGACGAGUGGCGGACGGGUGAGUAAUGUCUGGGAAACUGCCUGAUGGAGGGGGAUAACUACUGGAAACGGUGGCUAAUACCGCAUAACGUCGCAAGACCAAAGAGGGGGACCUUCGGGCCUCUUGCCAUCAGAUGUGCCCAGAUGGGAUUAGCUUGUUGGUGAGGUAACGGCUCACCAAGGCGACGAUCCCUAG